ensembl:lncRNA
GGAGCAGAGAGGAAGAGAAAGGCAGAGAGGAAAGGAGCAGAGAGGAAGAGAAAGGCAGAGAGGAAAGGAGCAGAGAGGAAGAGAAAGGCAGAGAGGAGAGGAGCAGAGAGGAAGAGAAAGGCAGAGAGGAGAGAGAAAGGCAGAGAGGAGAGGAGCAGAGAGGAAGAGAAAGGCAGAGAGGAAAGGAGCAGAGAGGAAGAGAAAGGCAGAGAGAGAGGAGGAAAGCAGAGAGGAGAGGAGCAGAGAGGAAGAGAAAGGCAGAGAGGAGAGGAGCAGAGAGGAAGAGAAAGGCAGAGAGGAAAGGAGCAGAGAGGAAGAGAAAGGCAGAGAGGAAAGGAGCAGAGAGGAAGAGAAAGGCAGAGAGGAGAGGAGCAGAG